AGUGAACGCUGGCGGUAGGCCUAACACAUGCAAGUCGAACGGCAGCACAGUAAGAGCUUGCUCUUACGGGUGGCGAGUGGCGGACGGGUGAGGAAUACAUCGGAAUCUACUUUUUCGUGGGGGAUAACGUAGGGAAACUUACGCUAAUACCGCAUACGACCUACGGGUGAAAGCAGGGGAUCUUCGGACCUUGCGCGAUUGAAUGAGCCGAUGUCGGAUUAGCUAGUUGGCGGGGUAAAGGCCCACCAAGGCGACGAUCCGUAGCUGGUCUGAGAGGAUGGAAGGAGACAAGGGAACUGAGAAACGUGCCAGACAACGAGUGGAGGAACAAGAGGGGAAUAGUGGAAAAGGGGUGAAAGCCUGAUCUAGCUAUAGAGAGGGAGGAAAGAAGGCAGUCGCUGCGGAAAGCCUCGGGGUGGGGAAAGAAAAGCAGCAGGUGACUAACCCGAGGCCCGGACGGAACCAAAAAAAGAAGCACCGGAUAACUUCGUG
rnacentral:rRNA from 1 species